GACACUUUGGCCGAGUGGUUAAGGCGGUGCCCUGCUACUAGCUCUAGUGAGGCAUUACAUUCGUGUGCGUAGGUUCGAAUCCUGCAGGUGUCG
rnacentral:tRNA from 1 species